AAACUCUCUCUGCGCAGAAAAAAAAAGCUCAUCUCUCUCAAAAUUUCACUGCAUGUAGACAAAACUACCACUAUCUCUCACAGAAUAGAUUUGUGAACUUUGAAUCAACCCUGAUUCUAGCUUGUUAGUCUUUGAAUCAAAACCUCUAGAAAAACCCCUAAUUGAAAAUUUUAUAACCCUAAGAAAUUUGAUUUUGUUGUUGAAAUCGAAGGAUAUCCUAGUUCAGAGAUACUUGUUUGUGCUCGAAUCUCCGAGCAAACUGCUGCGACGAGUUUGCGAACAACAAGAAGACUGCUGCAAUUAAGAGCGUGUAGAGUAAUACAAUCGAGGUAGACUUGAAUAGGUCAGGGCGGCUACUCAUCCAAUGUAACCGAAAAGAUGGGGUUCGUGGCUACUCAUCCAAUGUAUCGAAGAAGCGGGCUGAGAUGGCGGUGAUAGCAUGUUCUGCUCUUAAAAAAAGAGACACCCAAAAUGAUGCGAGAUUGGACACAAUUCAAAGUGAAGUGGGUGUUUUGGCUAAUAAGGUGGCUGCACUUCAUGGUGACGCGAUACUACAGAUUUUGAAGGUUAAUAAUGGAUCUACAGCAGCUAGAGUAGGCACUCCUAGCCCAGAGAAAGGGUCCACUUGUUAUCCUAGUGGUGUAAAUGGCUGUGUUCCGUAGAAUGAGGUCAGUGCAAGUAAUGGGCACGCCAUUGGGCCAGUUGAGCUACUAGACAAUGAAGGCAGGGUUGUUGCAAUGGGUUCUGCAGUCAGUGGUGAUAUCGUUCAUACUAAAAAGCUGAAGCCGAAUGAGAGGAAGGUCUACAUCGAGCACGUGUAUGAACAAACUGCUUUUGUCUGGGAUCCCCCUCAAGGAGAUGGUUGGUGUACCUUGAGUCAGCUAUCACUGCCUACUUGGGUGAGAUGGGCUGAGGAUAGGCUGGCACCUGUGCGUAGACAUGUUUAAUAUCGGGGGAUGAACUAAUUUGUUUUUUUUUUUAUUAUCAGCAGAUGUUCAAAGACAUAGCAUAUAAGGCUCAUUUAAUAUUGGGUGAUGAACUACAGACUGCUUUUUUUGGUAACUAAACACUUGGUGAAUCCUACAGACUGCUUUUUUUGGGUAUUAUAGACACUUGGCGAAUCCUACAGACUACUUUUUGAUGUUUUUGUUACUGUAGGAUGAUUAAACAGACUAUGCAUCUGUCUAAUCUGUCUGUAAUAGAUUUUGUAAUUAUCUUAAUGGUAUAUAUAUAUAUAUAUAUAUAUAUACUAUGCAUCUGUCUA